rnacentral:rRNA from 1 species
GAUGAACGCUGGCGGCGUGCCUAACACAUGCAAGUCGAACGGAGUCCAGCCUUUAAGACCUUCGGGUCAAAGAGGGGAAGACUGAGUGGCGGACGGGUGAGUAACACGUGGGCAACCUGGCUCAUAGAGGGGGAUAACAGAGAGAAAUUUCUGCUAAUACCGCAUAAGCACACACUGCCGCAUGGCAGAGGGUGAAAAGAGAAUCGCUAUGAGAUGGACCCGCGUCUGAUUAGCCAGUUGGCAGGGUAAGAGCCCACCAAAGCGACGAUCAGUAGCCGAUCUGAGAGGAUGAACGGCCACAUUGGGACUGAGACACGGCCCAAACUCCUACGGGAGGCAGCAGUGGGGGAUAUCGCACAAUGGGGGGAACCCUGAUGCAGCGACGCCGCGUGAGUGAAGAAGUAUUUCGGUAUGUAAAGCUCUAUCAGCAGGGAAGAUAAUGACAGUACCUGAAUAAGAAGCCCCGGCUAACUACGUG